rnacentral:rRNA from 1 species
ACGGGAGGCAGCAGUGAGGAAUAUUGGUCAAUGGGCGAGAGCCUGAACCAGCCAAGUCGCGUGAAGGAUGAAGGUUCUAUGGAUUGUAAACUUCUUUUGUCUGAGGGUGAAGUGAGAGAUGCGUCUCUUAUUGCAAGUAUCAGACGAAUAAGCAUCGGCUAACUCCGUGCCAGCAGCCGCGGUAAUACGGAGGAUGCGAGCGUUAUCCGGAUUUAUUGGGUUUAAAGGGUGCGUAGGCGGGUAAUUAAGUCAGUGGUGAAAGCGUGCGGCUCAACCGUACCGAGCCAUUGAAACUGGUUAUCUUGAGUGUAAACGAGGUAGGCGGAAUAUGACGUGUAGCGGUGAAAUGCUUAGAUAUGUCAUAGAACUCCGAUUGCGAAGGCAGCUUACCAGCAUACAACUGACGCUGAGGCACGAAAGCGUGGGUAUCAAACAGGAUUAGAUACCCUGGUA